UUCUUAAUAGUAUAACAAAAUUUAAUAAAAUACAAUAUUUUUUCAUAAUAUAAAUAUGUUUAAACAUUUAAGAUU
rnacentral:tRNA from 1 species